rnacentral:misc_RNA from 1 species
CCGAGAGCACCUCCUUCGGGAGGUGCUAUUCUCACCACCCCCAAUUUAUACGUACCUCUUGUUCUUCCUCGGCAGGGUGACCUGCCGGCGGAACCUCAUCACGAACCCAUUUGCAUCUAGCAUUACUUGUUCUGAUACCCUAAAUCGUUA